UACGGAGGGGGCUAGCGUUGUUCGGAAUUACUGGGCGUAAAGCGCACGUAGGCGGCUUUGUAAGUUAGAGGUGAAAGCCUGGUGCUCAACACCAGAACUGCCUUUAAGAUUGCAUCGCUUGAACACGGGAGAGGUGAGUGGAAUUCCGAGUGUAGAGGUGAAAUUCGUAGAUAUUCGGAAGAACACCAGUGGCGAAGGCGGCUCACUGGACCGUUGUUGACGCUGAGGUGCGAAAGCGUGGGGAG
rnacentral:rRNA from 1 species